GUCCACCAUGCCAAACCAAAAAGAAACACAGUGGCUCCUCCGUAGCUGCCCGCAACCCUAUCCCCUUUCCAUCAAACCCCACAGCCACCGCGAGCCUGCAGCCGCGCUCCAGCUCCAUCCUCUCGCACCCUACUCCCGCAUCUCAUCUCGGACCGGAUAUGAGAUGUGUGGGCGCGGAGGCGAGAUUCUCCGGCGGCGGCCGCCUGCAGGCAAAGGGCGACGGUAGUGGCAAUUGAUUUCAUUCAGCGCCAUGGAUCGACCCCUGCUAAGCGACGAGGUUGCUGGACUGCCACCAUAUCCGUCCUCCACCGUACGGUGCCUCCUGCGAGUGCCAUCUCGCCCCACCAGAUUCCCGCGUUGUGGAUCCGUCGGGGAUGGAGGGAAGCAAGUGAGAGGGAGCAGGAGAAGAUGUGAAUCGAGGGAGUGAAAGAAGGAGCUCACGCGGGAAGGGGAAGAGGCAGUCUGACGGCAUAUCCUCGUCUCAUCCCUGGCUGCAGCUCUUUUGAUGCCAUGUCACCAGUGGUGGAUCCUCGAUGGAGUGCCUCCUCCCAUGACGGCACGACUAGCGGUUGUUGCUCGAUGCCACAAUGCACAACACCGGGGGGUGCUAUGCGUGCAUCGUGAUCGGUUACCGUGGGGGAGGGGACAUGUAUGUAUGUAACCUGAAGGGCUAAAGCUCUAACCUGUGACGAAAUGGUGGUUAUUUGUUUUUCCAUGUGCAGGCUAGAGGCGGUGCUCAGCUAUUCUAUAAUAUGUGUUGUUUAGUAGCUGCAAAUUCCGCUUGCUGAAUUUUGCCCCGUUGUCGUGUCCAUAUUUUAUGGAUGCAGAAACUCUAUGUGUGACUUGUGUUAAUGAGAGUGAAUCAGUUGCUGAUA